UCACUACCAACAAUCGACGGGCACGUGAUGACAUCGGCUCUUUCUAGGAAGGGGCACAGUGGUUGGAAACAUGAGCUGAUUUUGAGCCAUGACUACCAUGUCCGCAAGGACACUGACCAAAGGGGCAACCGCCGAGAGCAGCCAGGCUGGCCCAGGCACUUGGGCCACCGCUCGGGGAAGCAGGUAGGAGAGCCUCGGAGAUGGCCCCUUCCCCUUUCAUGCCACAGGCGAGACUGCCGGUGGGGGCCAGAAGUUCGCCCCAUGGCUCAGUGCUUAGUUCGGCUCCCACCCAGCCCGCUGAGAUGGUGUUUGCCACUCUUCCCGCUGUCCCUCCAGUGUCGUUUGGCGAGACGCCUGGGCCCUGAGCCAGCCUCCAAUGUGACCGACAGCUUGGGGAAAGGCAGGCCCCACAGCUGAGGGCACGCAUCUCUAUUCUCACAUCGUUUUUGCUUCUGAGUCAAAGGCCUGGGGAUUCCCUCUUCUUCUCAGGGAAAUUUCCUCGGGUGAAGCCGGGGGGAGCUCAAUGGAGUUGAGAGUGCGUGGUGCAGUGACUGUGAUACAGAGUAAUGGGAGGCAGAGUCUGGCGAUCCCAUCCUGCACUCAUUCCGUGGCCACAGGUGGAAGAUCAUCGUACUUGUUGUUCAACACCAAGUAUGUUCAACACCAAACAUUUCUAAUCUUUGUUUCCCCAAGAGCACCCAACGUCAAGCCAGAACUUCAAGGGCGGAAGGGUUUUCAGGCUUUGGUGUCACUGCUCUCCAGGAUGGCUUGAAGGGUCUGGGCUGUUCCAAGGGGCAGGUUCCGGUGUGCUGAAAGGUGUUGUCUGCACUUGGUCUGCUUUUGCUCGGGAACUGGUUUGUCUGGACACAAGCUAUGAGCUUUGCCUGCAUGAAGAAAAUGGCUGCAGAGUGUAAAACAAGACUCUUUGAACUUGACCAAUACUUUGGGCGAGAGCUGGAUGAAGUAAACAAAUGCGUGAUGAACACAUGCUUCGGGCCAUCCCAGUGGGCCUGGGGACACCUUCCCUCUUCUUUGUCCCUGAGUCCUGGCAGAUACUCUCAGGCAUGUCCAGAACCUUAAGUUCUUUACUUCCAUUAACAAGCCAAAUAGUAGGGUGACCAUUUAAUCUAUGUUCAGCCGGACGCCGUUGAGAGCAUAGAGGAUGCUGUCCGUCACACUGGACAAAAAUGUACACGAGACUAUAUGGGGCACCCGACAGAAUGCCCACUUCGAGGAGGAACUCUAGACUGUCAGUGCAAACCGAGGUAAACCCUGUGAUUUCAGCCAGUUCAUUCAUAGAAGUCUGUCUGAUCUGUCCUUGCCAGCCUGCGACAAUGAGGUCCACCUGCCAGCUAUAGAAACUUGGCAGACCUACUGGCCUUUGCGGACUUGUCUUCUUUUCCGUCAAAGGAGCUGAGUCCUCACCCCAGGAUGGUUCUGAGGCUCAGCACUAAGGAGACACUAAGAGACUGUGCUCUAGUCUCUCUUCUUAUUUUCUGUUCUCUCCCCAUUUCAUUCAGCACCCAUGCCUCAUUCUACACCAACUUGUGAAUGGUGGCACCUAUGAUUAUUGUUACU